rnacentral:misc_RNA from 1 species
GAUGAAAGAACGUAGCGAAAUGCGAUAAGUAAUGUGAAUUGCAGAAUUCAGUGAAUCAUCGAAUCUUUGAACGCACAUUGCGCCCCUCGGUAUUCCGGGGGGCAUGCCUGUUCGAGCGUCAUUACACCACUCAAGCCUCGCUUGGUCUUGGGCGUCCGCGGUCCGCCGCGCGCCCCAAUGUCUCCGGCUGAGCCGUCCGUCUCUAAGCGUUGUGAUAAACUGUUCGCUUGCGAGGCCGGGCUGGCUUGUUUGCCGUUAAACCCCCCAUUUUUACAGGUUGACCUCGGAUCAGGUAGGGAUACCCGCUGAACUUAAGCAUAUCAAUAAGCGGAGGA